UUAAAAAUUUCCGCAAGCA
rnacentral:tRNA from 1 species